rnacentral:rRNA from 1 species
CUAAGUUUGAUGGCGACCGGCGCACGGGUGAGUAACACGUAUCCAACCUGCCGAUGACUCGGGGAUAGCCUUUCGAAAGAAAGAUUAAUACCCGAUGGCAUAGUUCUUCCGCAUGGUGGACUAUUAAAGAAUUUCGGUCAUCGAUGGGGAUGCGUUCCAUUAGGUUGUUGGCGGGGUAACGGCCCACCAAGCCUUCGAUGGAUAGGGGUUCUGAGAGGAAGGUCCCCCACAUUGGAACUGAGACACGGUCCAAACUCCUACGGGAGGCAGCAUG